rnacentral:rRNA from 1 species
CCCCAAAUAUAUGUUAAGUGGAAAAGGAUGUGGGGUUGCUUAGACAACCAGGAUGUUGGCUUAGAAGCAGCCACCAUUGAAAGAGUGCGUAAUAGCUCACUGGUCGAGUGACCCCGCGCCGAAAAUGUACCGGGGCUAAACAUAUUACCGAAACUGUGGAUGAACCUCUUUAGAGGUUCGUGGUAGGAGAGCGUUCUAAGGGCGGUGAAGUCAGACCGGAAGGACUGGUGGAGCGCUUAGAAGUGAGAAUGCCGGUAUGAGUAGCGAAAGAAGGGAGAGAAGCCCUUCGACCGAAUAACUACGGUUGCCUGAGGAAGGCUCGUACGCUAUGGGUUAGUCGGGACCCACGCCGGGGCCGAUAGGGGUAGGCGAUGGACAACGGGUAGAGAUUCAUGUACGAGUGCUAAUUGUUUAACCGAUGGGGUGACACAGAAGGGUAGGGAAUCGAACGAAUGGAAAUGUGCGUCCAAGCAGUGAGUGUGAGAAGUAGGCAAAUCCGCUUCUCGCGAAGCAUGAGC